rnacentral:rRNA from 1 species
GACGAACGCUGGCGGCGUGCUUAACACAUGCAAGUCGAGCGGAAAGGCUCCUUCGGGGGUACUCGAGCGGCGAACGGGUGGGUAACACGUGAGUAAUCUGCCCUGUGCUCUGGGAUAGCCACCGGAAACGGUGAUUAAUACCGGAUACAACCACUAUCCGCAUGGGUUGGUGGUGGAAAGUUUUUCGGCACAGGAUGUGCUCGCGGCCUAUCAGCUUGUUGGUGAGGUAAUGGCUCACCAAGGCUUUGACGGGUAGCCGGCCUGAGAGGGUGACCGGUCACGCUGGGACUGAGCCACGGCCCAGACUCCUACGGGAGGCAGCAGUGGGGAAUAUUGGACAAUGGGCGGAAGCCUGAUCCAGCAACGCCGCGUGAGGGAUGACGGCCUUCGGGUUGUAAACCUCUUUCAGUACCGACGAAGCGCAAGUGACGGUAGGUACAGAAGAAGGACCGGCCAACUACGUGCCAGCCGCCGCAGUAAGAC